UACAGAGGGUGCGAGCGUUGUCCGGAAUCACUGGGCGUAAAGGGCGUGUAGGCGGCUGGAUAAGCCGCGUGUGAAAUCCCGGGGCUCAACCCCGGAACGGCACGCGGGACUGUUCGGCUAGAGAAUGGUAGAGGCAAGUGGAAUUCCUGGUGUAGCGGUGAAAUGCGUAGAUAUCUGGAGGAACACCGGUGGCGAAGGCGGCAUCCUGGACCGAUAUUGACGCUGAUGCGCGAAAGCCAGGGGAGCAAACGGG
rnacentral:rRNA from 1 species